rnacentral:tRNA from 1 species
AAUAUAUUGGCAGAAUAAAUGCAUUAGAAUUAGAAUCUAAUUACCUAAAAAUCCU